AUGGGGCUGCCGACCACCUGACGGCGGGCACCAGCUCCGCAGAUGCGCAUUCAUCCAACUGCAGGCGCUGCACUCAAAGGCGUGUAGGCCCUGAGCCUGUAUAACUUCCUCUGGACCCACGCAAUUCCCUUGGAGAGCGCCAGGCACGACCCUGCUGUGGCUUCUAACUACAAGGCUUCCCUCAGGUGGACAGGCCCACCCCUCAGGGAGACUAGGAUAAGAGGACACCACACACCCGGACAUCAGCGGAGCAUGUCCAGCACCCAGCACACAAAGGCCUCCUGCAUCUCAGAAACUCAGAGAAGCAGCCGCCUCACACCACCCCCGGCCCCUCCCGUCCCUCAGCUGCAACCACCUGCCCACUUUUUCUGCCUCCCGUCUCUGGUCAGCCCAGGCCGUCUUGGCCGGGGUCCACCCACUCCAAAAACCACCACAGUUGUGGCGUUGCCUCCUCGCCAGACAGAGAUAGAGGGCCAACAAUGAAGGGUGACUGGCCAAAUGUCUGGGAGAUGGCCCUGUUCCACAUUGUCUGUGUUCUUGCGAAAUUGCAAGGCGUCACGAGGCUUGCCCACCCAAUCCUCUGGAGAGUUCUUGCGCAGAGGUAGAUUGUUUGGCACACGAGAUGUCGGCGUGGGUCGGAAAGCAUGCGGAAGUCCUGCUUUGCUACGUGAUGGAUUUGCAGGUGGAGGAACUCAGCCAUCCCGGUUACCGGUGGCAGGAUGAUUUCCUUUCAUCCCAACCUUUAUUUCCACAGUGAAAUCAUCAUGAAGGAGCACUGUGUUGGCAUCCUCGGCUACAGGGUGUCUCAUUCCACUGCAGUCCAGCGGUUCUGGGAUCACGAAGGUCAAGCCUCCAGCUGCAGGCAGUACACCUCCUACCUGAGCUCAUUCAGCUGUUUGGCUGAACAUGACUGCCCGGGUUUUGGCAGGAUUGCUGAGAUAUGGGAGUUAGCCUGUGAGCAUGUUUUCGAAUACGGA
rnacentral:lncRNA from 1 species